rnacentral:lncRNA from 1 species
CAAGAGGUUGUCCUGAAGCAGCGUCUCCUGGAGCACUGGGGCCACCUCCUCCAAGCUCAACAUGUGGCAAAGGUCGGUGAGUUCCUCCUGUCCCAGGGACCCGGUGCCUGUCGUGUCAAAACUGUCAAACAGCUCCUUGAGUCGGGCCUCAUGCUGGUCCUGCUCCACCUCAUCCAUCCCAUAGCCCACGGCGCUCACCUGUGUGCGACAGAGAUAAGGGCGGGUGGUGGCAGCCCGGGAGUCCUACCCCUGCCCUCGCCAGCCCCUUGGGAAGAUUCUGUACGUCCUUGGCCCCUGAUGCUGGUCCAUGAGGACCUCAGUGGAGGCAGGCAGGAGAGGCGAUGCUGCACCCUCACCCCUCACCCCACCCCCAGCAAGACCUCAGGUCUCUCCAGGAGCCAGCCCUGGCCGGCCAGGCGCCCACACAGGCACUCACACCAGGGCCACAGCUACACAGGUCACUCAGGGUAACGUUACCAGAAUGAGGGAGUCUCCUCUCCUGCCUGGUCCUUGGGCAGGCGGCCAGUCUCAAACUCAAGACUGAAAGCGCUUCCCUAUCAGCUCACGAGCCCCUGGACGUACAGAAGGUGAAAGGCCACUUCUGACACUCCGUCCUUUCAAACUAACUGUUAGCACCAAUAUAGGCUGCAGGGCCCGAGCUGUGAGGCAAGUCGGCGAGCUCCAGACCACCUGCCCAGAUGUCGCAAGCCACCGCUGUGGCCACGCUAUCUAGUUCCACUUGGCUCAGCCUAGAUGCCCCCCAUCACAGUUAGCAUGGAGGCUUGCAGCAAGAGGCACUAGAUGAAUAUGUCCGAUACAACACAAAACCACCUCCCUGUUUACAUGAGACACAAUGCCUUUUACACAAGUUCCCCCAAAAGCAGUGCAAUUAACUUCACUGGUGCAAUUACGCGAGGUGUGACAGGAAGGGUAUUCCCUGAAGCUGGCUUUAGUCCCUGGGGGUUUUAGGCAAUGCCUAAUUGCCUAGAGAAAGGGGAAAACACUAUUCCAACCUUUCAGACUAUGAGCUUCAGAGGAGCCACAGACCAUAUGAAUCAUACAGAGUCUCAGGGAACCUCCAUUAUCCAGACCACCUCAUGUCUGUGCACAUGGUUAGUCUGUCUUCCUUCUUUUCAACCCCCAACCCCGGGCUUCCCUUUUCUCCACCUUCCAUGGGAUCAAUAAAAACACAGGCUCAUGAUUAACUCAGAAUCACUUCUGCUAAAAACAGACAUCAUAAAAUUCUAGGUACCUCAUAUUUUAAGAGUUAAAUCUGGGGGUUUCUUUGGUUGCGCAAGAAUUCAUUUUUAAUGUGUUGGGUCUUCUGAUGAGAGCCUGAAAUGCGCACGUCUGAAGCUACCUUCACCAUGACGCAACGGAAACCAAACACAACCUAGACCCCUGAGACAAUGACCUCAGCCAUCUAAACCAGGCUCUCAGCACCAGCCCCUUGACUAUAAAAAGCAGCACUUUCAAAAAAUAUAUUUAUCUUGCCCAUAUAUUUUUUUUACUGUGAUAAAAAAUACAUAACGUGAAAUCUAACCUAACAAAAAUUUAUUAACAAAAUUUUAAGCGCACACAACCGUCUUCUUCGCUAAACGUGCACUGUUGUACAGCGGAUCUCUAGAAUGUUUUCAUCUUGCGUGACUUUGUACCCACUGUAGAACAACUUCCCAUUGCCCCCUGCCCCAGCCCCCGGCAAACAUCAUCCCAGUUUUCAAAGCAGCACCUUUAACAAAAGCCCUGAGUAAGAAAACUCUCUAACUCACGGGUGAUGUGCAUAUAGCAGAUGGGCAACACGGGCGACACACAAGUUCAGGUGUUGAACGUGGCCAGAACUGUAAAUGAGAGAGGCUUC